rnacentral:rRNA from 1 species
UACGGGAGGCAGCAGUGGGGAAUAUUGCACAAUGGGCGAAAGCCUGAUGCAGCUAUGCCGCGUGUAUGAAGAAGGCCUUAGGGUUGUAAAGUACUUUCAUCGGGGAGGAAAAACAAAACUAAUAAUUUUAUUUCUUGACGUUACCCGAAAAAGAAGCACCGGCUAACUCCGUGCCAGCAGCCGCGGUAAUACGGAGGGUGCUAGCGUUAAUCAGAAUUACUGGGCGUAAAGAGCACGUAGGUGGUUUUUUUAAAGUCAGAUGUGAAAUCCCUGGGCUUAACCUAGGAACUGCAUUUUGAAACUGAAAUACUAGAGUAUCGUAGAGGGAGGUAGAAUUCUAGGUGUAGCGGUGAAAUGCGUAGAUAUCUGGAGGAAUACCUGUGGCGAAAGCGGCCUCCUAAACGAAUACUGACACUGAGGUGCGAAAGCGUGGGGAGGCAAACAGGGAUUAGAUACC